rnacentral:tRNA from 1 species
CCGUAGCUCAGUGGAUAGAGCACUGGUUUAGUAAACCAGAGGUUGGGAGUUCGAUCCUCCCUGG